AUUGAACGCUGGCGGCAGGCCUAACACAUGCAAGUCGAACGAGUGGCGGACGGGUGAGUAAUGUCUGGGACACUGCCCGAUGGAGGGGGAUAACUACUGGAAACGGUAGCUAAUCCCGCAUACCAUCGGAUGUGCCCAGAUGGGAUUAGCUAGUAGGUGGGGUAACGGCUCACCUAGGCGACGAUCCCUAGCUGGUCUGAGAGGAUGACCAGCCAAACUGGAACUGAGACACGGUCCAGAGGCCGACGGGAGGAAGCGGUGGGGAAUAUUGCACAAUGGGAGCAAGCCUGAUGCAGCCAUGCCACGUGUAUGAAGAAGGCCUUCGGGUUGUAAAGUACUUUAAGCGAGGAGGCGUUACUCGCAGAAGAAGCACCGGCUAACUCCGUGCCAGCAGCCGCGGUAAUUC
rnacentral:rRNA from 1 species